rnacentral:rRNA from 1 species
AUAUUCUAGUAUGAGAAAUUAACGAUUUAAGUCCUUCUUAAAUGAGGCCAUUUACCCAUAGAGGGUGCCAGGCCCGUAUAACGUUAAUGAUUACUAGAUGAUGUUUCCAAAGAGUCGUGUUGCUUGAUAGUGCAGCACUAAGUGGGUGGUAAACUCCAUCUAAAACUAAAUAUAACCAUGAGACCGAUAGUAAACAAGUACCGUGAGGGAAAGUUGAAAAGAACUCUGAAUAGAGAGUUAAACAGUACGUGAAACUGCUUAGAGGUUAAGCCCGAUGAACCUGAAUAUCCGUUAUGGAAAAUUCAUCAUUAAAGUUGUAAUAUUUUAACAAUAUUAUAAUAAUAGUGUGCAUUUUUUCCAUAUAAGGACAUUGUAAUCUAUUAGCAUAUAACAAAUUUAUCAUAAAAUAUGACUUAUAGUUUAUUCAAAUUAUUAUGCUUGCAUUUUAACAUAGAAUAAAUGUCAUUAAUUUGAUAAAGUGUUGAUAAAUUAAAAUUAAUACAGUGCGUUAAUUUUUCGAAAUUAUAUAAUGGCAUAAUUAUCAUUGAUUUUUGUGUUUAUUAUAUGCAUUUGUAUGAUUAACAAUGCGAAAGAUUCAGGAUACCUUCGGGACCCGUCU